CACGUAGGGGGCAAGCGUUGUCCGGAUUUAUUGGGCGUAAAGAGCUCGUAGGCGGUUUCGUAAGUCGGAUGUGAAAACUCCAGCUCAACUUGGAGACGCCAUUCGAUACUGCGAUGACUUGAGUCCGGUAGGGGAGUGUGGAAUUCCUGGUGUAGCGGUGAAAUGCGCAGAUAUCAGGAAGAACACCAAUGGCGAAGGCAGCUCUCUGGGACGGUACUGACGCUGAGACGCGAAAGCGUGGGGAGCGAACAGG
rnacentral:rRNA from 1 species